AGUUUGAUCCUGGCUCAGGAUGAACGCUAGCUACAGGCUUAACACAUGCAAGUCGAGGGGCAGCAUUGGGGUAGCAAUACUUCAGAUGGCGACCGGCGCACGGGUGAGUAACACGUAUCCAACCUGCCGCUUACUCGGGGAUAGCCUUUCGAAAGAAAGAUUAAUACCCGAUGGUAUAAAGAGUUCGCAUGUUCUCUUUAUUAAAGAAUUUCGGUAAGCGAUGGGGAUGCGUUCCAUUAGAUAGUUGGCGGGGUAACGGCCCACCAAGUCUACGAUGGAUAGGGGUUCUGAGAGGAAGGUCCCCCACAUUGGAACUGAGACACGGUCCAAACUCCUACGGGAGGCAGCAGUGAGGAAUAUUGGUCAAUGGACGAGAGUCUGAACCAGCCAAGUAGCGUGAAGGAUGACUGCCCUAUGGGUUGUAAACUUCUUUUAUAAGGGAAUAAAGUGAGGGACGUGUCCCUUUUUGUAUGUACCUUAUGAAUAAGGAUCGGCUAACUCCGUGCCAGCAGCCGCGGUAAUACGGAGGAUCCAAGCGUUAUCCGGAUUUAUUGGGUUUAAAGGGAGCGUAGGUUGACAUAUAAGUCAGCUGUGAAAGUUUACGGCUCAACCGUGAAAUUGCAGUUGAUACUGUAUGUCUUGAGUGUACAAGAGGUGGGCGGAAUUCGUGGUGUAGCGGUGAAAUGCUUAGAUAUCACGAAGAACUCCAAUUGCGAAGGCAGCUCACUGGGGUACAACUGACACUGAGGCUCGAAAGUGUGGGUAUCAAACAGGAUUAGAUACCCUGGUAGUCCACACAGUAAACGAUGAAUACUCGCUGUUUGCGAUAUACAGUAAGCGGCCAAGCGAAAGCAUUAAGUAUUCCACCUGGGGAGUACGCCGGCAACGGUGAAACUCAAAGGAAUUGACGGGGGCCCGCACAAGCGGAGGAACAUGUGGUUUAAUUCGAUGAUACGCGAGGAACCUUACCCGGGCUUGAAUUGCAGAGGAACAUAGUUGAAAGAUUAUGGCCGCAAGGUCUCUGUGAAGGUGCUGCAUGGUUGUCGUCAGCUCGUGCCGUGAGGUGUCGGCUUAAGUGCCAUAACGAGCGCAACCCUUAUCAUUAGUUACUAACAGGUCAUGCUGAGGACUCUAGUGAGACUGCCGUCGUAAGAUGUGAGGAAGGUGG
rnacentral:rRNA from 1 species